rnacentral:rRNA from 1 species
UACGAAGGGGCUAGCGUUGUUCGGAAUUACUGGGCGUAAAGCGCGUGUAGGCGGGUCUUUAAGUCAGGGGUGAAAUGCCAAGGCUCAACCUUGGAACUGCCUUUGAUACUGAGGAUCUUGAGUUCGGGAGAGGUGAGUGGAACUGCGAGUGUAGAGGUGAAAUUCGUAGAUAUUCGCAAGAACACCAGUGGCGAAGGCGGCUCACUGGCCCGAUACUGACGCUGAGGCGCGAAAGCGUGGGGAGCAAACAGG